rnacentral:rRNA from 1 species
CAGCCGCCGCGGUAAUACGAAGGGGGCUAGCGUUGUUCGGAAUCACUGGGCGUAAAGGGUGCGUAGGCGGAUUCUUAAGUCAGGGGUGAAAUCCCGAGGCUCAACCUCGGAACUGCCUUUGAUACUGGGGAUCUUGAGUCCGGAAGAGGUGAGUGGAACUGCGAGUGUAGAGGUGAAAUUCGUAGAUAUUCGCAAGAACACCGGUGGCGAAGGCGGCUCACUGGUCCGGAACUGACGCUGAGGCACGACAGCGUGGGGAGCAAACAGGAUUAGAUACCCCGGUAGUCCCUGUCUCUUAUAC